rnacentral:rRNA from 1 species
UACGAAGGGGGCUAGCGUUGUCCGGAUUUAUUGGGCGUAAAGAGCUCGUAGGCGGUUUGGUGAGUCGGGUGUGAAAUCUCCACGCUCAACGUGGAGGGGCCACCCGAUACUGCCAUGACUAGAGUCCGGUAGGGGAGUGUGGAAUUCCCGGUGUAGCGGUGAAAUGCGCAGAUAUCGGGAGGAACACCGGUGGCGAAGGCGGUUCUCUGGGCCUGUACUGACGCUGAGGAGCGAAAGCGUGGGGAGCGAACAGG